GAUGAACGCUGGCGGCAUGCCUAAUACAUGCAAGUCGAGCGAACGGACGAGAAGCUUGCUUUUCUGAUGUUAGCGGCGGACGGGUGAGUAACACGUGGAUAACCUACCUAUAAGACUGGGAUAACUUCGGGAAACCGGAGCUAAUACCGGAUAAUAUUUUGAACCGCAUGGUUCAAAAGUGAAAGACGGUCUUGCUGUCACUUAUAGAUGGAUCCGCGCUGCAUUAGCUAGUUGGUAAGGUAACGGCUUACCAAGGCAACGAUGCAUAGCCGACCUGAGAGGGUGAUCGGCCACACUGGAACUGAGACACGGUCCAGACUCCUACGGGAGGCAGCAGUAGGGAAUCUUCCGCAAUGGGCGAAAGCCUGACGGAGCAACGCCGCGUGAGUGAUGAAGGUCUUCGGAUCGUAAAACUCUGUUAUUAGGGAAGAACAUAUGUGUAAGUAACUGUGCACAUCUUGACGGUACCUAAUCAGAAAGCCACGGCUAACUACGUGCCAGCAGCCGCGGUAAUACGUAGGUGGCAAGCGUUAUCCGGAAUUAUUGGGCGUAAAGCGCGCGUAGGCGGUUUUUUAAGUCUGAUGUGAAAGCCCACGGCUCAACCGUGGAGGGUCAUUGGAAACUGGAAAACUUGAGUGCAGAAGAGGAAAGUGGAAUUCCAUGUGUAGCGGUGAAAUGCGCAGAGAUGUGGAGGAACACCAGUGGCGAAGGCGACUUUCUGGUCUGUAACUGACGCUGAUGUGCGAAAGCGUGGGGAUCAAACAGGAUUAGAUACCCUGGUAGUCCACGCCGUAAACGAUGAGUGCUAAGUGUUAGGGGGUUUCCGCCCCUUAGUGCUGCAGCUAACGCAUUAAGCACUCCGCCUGGGGAGUACGACCGCAAGGUUGAAACUCAAAGGAAUUGACGGGGGCCCGCACAAGCGGUGGAGCAUGUGGUUUAAUUCGAAGCAACGCGAAGAACCUUACCAAAUCUUGACAUCCUUUGACAACUCUAGAGAUAGAGCCUUCCCCUUCGGGGGACAAAGUGACAGGUGGUGCAUGGUUGUCGUCAGCUCGUGUCGUGAGAUGUUGGGUUAAGUCCCGCAACGAGCGCAACCCUUAAGCUUAGUUGCCAUCAUUAAGUUGGGCACUCUAAGUUGACUGCCGGUGACAAACCGGAGGAAGGUGGGGAUGACGUCAAAUCAUCAUGCCCCUUAUGAUUUGGGCUACACACGUGCUACAAUGGACAAUACAAAGGGCAGCGAAACCGCGAGGUCAAGCAAAUCCCAUAAAGUUGUUCUCAGUUCGGAUUGUAGUCUGCAACUCGACUACAUGAAGCUGGAAUCGCUAGUAAUCGUAGAUCAGCAUGCUACGGUGAAUACGUUCCCGGGUCU
rnacentral:rRNA from 1 species